rnacentral:misc_RNA from 1 species
AAGACUAUAGACCUGCGGAGUACCUGCGGAAGGAUCAUUAUUGAAUUAUGUUUCUAAAUGGGUUGUAGCUGGCUCGUCAGAGCAUGUGCACGCCUGUUUGGACUUCAUUUUCAUCCACCUGUGCACCUAUUGUAGUCUUUGGUUGGGUAUCAAGGAAGUGGUCAGCCUAACAGCACUUGCUGGAUGUGAGGACUUGCAGUGUGAAAGCUUUGCUGUCCUUUACUUGAUCAUGGAGUUGUU